GUGGGGAAUUUUGGACAAUGGGCGCAAGCCUGAUCCAGCAAUGCCGCGUGCAGGAAGAAGGCCUUCGGGUUGUAAACUGCUUUUGUACGGAACGAAACGGUCCGGGUUAAUACCCUGGGCUAAUGACGGUACCGUAAGAAUAAGCACCGGCUAACUACGUGCCAGCAGCCGCGGUAAUACGUAGGGUGCAAGCGUUAAUCGGAAUUACUGGGCGUAAAGCGUGCGCAGGCGGGUUUGUAAGACAGGCGUGAAAUCCGCGGGCUCAACCUGGGAAUUGCGCUUGUGACUGCAAGGCUGGAGUGCGGCAGAGGGGGAUGGAAUUCCGCGUGUAGCAGUGAAAUGCGUAGAUAUGCGGAGGAACACCGAUGGCGAAGGCAAUCCCCUGGGCCUGCACUGACGCUCAUGCACGAAAGCGUGGGGAGCAAACAGGAUUAGAAACCCUGGUAGUCC
rnacentral:rRNA from 1 species